rnacentral:rRNA from 1 species
AGUAACACGUGGGUAACCUGCCCAUCRGAGGGGGAUAACACUUGGAAACAGGUGCUAAUACCGCAUAAUAGUCGACACCGCAUGGUGUUGAUUUGAAAGACGCUUUCGGGUGUCACUGAUGGAUGGACCCGCGGUGCAUUAGCUAGUUGGUGAGGUAACGGCUCACCAAGGCGAUGAUGCAUAGCCGACCUGAGAGGGUGAUCGGCCACACUGGGGCUGAGACACGGCCCAGACUCCUACGGGAGGCAGCAGUAGGGAAUCUUCGGCAAUGGACGAAAGUCUGACCGAGCAACGCCGCGUGAGUGAAGAAGGUUUUCGGAUCGUAAAACUCUGUUGUUAGAGAARAAUAAGUAGGAGAGUAACUGCUCUUACCUUGACGGUAUCUAACCAGAAAGCCACGGCUAACUACGUGCCAGCAGCCGCGGUAAUACGUAGGUGGCAAGCGUUGUCCGGAUUUAUUGGGCGUAAAGCGAGCGCAGGCGGUUUCUUAAGUCUGAUGCGAAAGCCCCCGGCUCAACCGGGGAGGGUCAU